GCCGCUCCGAGUGCGGGGCCUGUCGAACCCACGCCCACCCGGAACUCACGCUGGCCCGCGAGCGCCGCGCGCAGCCCUGGUUCCCGCCCGCGGCUCUCUCUCCACACAUCCCCGCAAGCUGAGGGAGCCAGCUCCGGCCUUGGCCAGCCCAGAAAAGGGCUCCCACAGUGCAGGGGCGGGCUGAAGGGCUCCUCAAGUGCCGCCAAAGUGGGAGCCCAGGCAGAGGAGGCGCCGAGAGCGAGCGAGGGCUGUGAGGACUGCCAGCACGCUGUCACCUCUCAGUCAGAGCCCACAGAUAAUAGCAACACACUAAGGUCCUCAAGGUACAUCGUUGGGAUCAAGCAACUUUGAUCCCAAGGAGAAGAAUAAAAACAAGAGGGACGACUGGGCCAAGGUGCCAUGUGAAGUGACCUGUGAGGAUCAACCCAGUGAAGAUGCUUGAGGAAGACAUGCUAGAGCAAAAACUACAACUCUGGUCCUCUUGGAUAUUUUAGAUAAGGACUUUACCCACAUAAAGAAGGUGUUGCCCUGGGGACUGGCUGAGAGAAAUUACAGACUGUUACUCACUUCAAAAGAAACGGACUGCUACAGUGGUACUUACGUCACCAGAAAGAAACACUUCCACAAAGAAUUUGAUUUGAUGGCAUCAUGUGGACAUAGAACUCUCAUAGUAAUGACCCAACCUGUGUUUCCAGUCAUCCUGAUGAACUCUCAACAAAAUCAGAUUGUUAUACUGUUGUUCUCACUUUACACCGAUAUUUUCUCUUGCUCCUAAAAAAAGUAUCUGGUAUUAAAUAGAAUUCUGUAUCUUAAAAAACUUGCCAUUGAGAAAAAUGAGAAGUAACUGUACAUUUUAAUACUGAAGGUUUUAAUAAAAAAAGCAGUGUGAACUAUCUGUUCCAUUUUUAUUCCUCGUCUACAAAAGACAAAAGUGUCAGUAUUGAGACAAUUGCUUGAUAA
rnacentral:lncRNA from 1 species